rnacentral:misc_RNA from 1 species
CUUCCGGUUUCCAUUUUUUAACUUUUCUGAGUUACGAAAUAUUUUAGAAUAAUUGCUGAAUUACUCUAAAUACCUGUAUAUUAUAACUAAUUGCAUGCCAUCAGAAGAUAUCGGAUGAUUUGAUACUGAUAUUAGCAACAUAGUAUGGCCAACAUUGCAGUGCAACGCAUCAAACGAGAGUUCAAAGAAGUUGUCAAAAGUGAAGAGGUUGCAGAAUGCCAUAUACAAGUAGAAUUGGUCAAUGACAGUUUUACAGAAUUAAAGGGACAAAUAGCAGGGCCUCCUGACACACCCUAUGAGGGUGCAACUUUCAAUUUAGAAAUCAAAAUUCCUGAAACAUAUCCAUUUAAUCCUCCUAAGGUCAAAUUCCUCACUGCAAUAUGGCAUCCAAACAUCAGUUCUGUGACAGGCGCAAUCUGUUUAGAUAUUUUAAAAGACCAGUGGGCAGCUGCUAUGACUUUACGGACAGUGCUGUUAUCGUUACAAGCUUUACUGGCAGCAGCAGAACCAGAUGAUCCACAAGAUGCUGUCGUUGCUAAACAAUAUAAAGAAAAUCAUCCUAUAUUUUUAAAAACUGCUAGACAUUGGGCAAACAUAUAUGCUGGGGGUACAAUUAGGGAAGAUGAUUAUGACAAUAGAGUUAUACAAUUAAAAAAUAUGGGGUUUGAUCCGCACAAGGCAAGAGUAGCACUAUCAACACAUAACUGGAAUGUUGAGCGAGCAAUGGAGCACAUACUCAACUACUGACAUCUAUACAAAGCCAUGAAACAUUCUCAGUAGCCAUGUGGUGACAUCUAUAAAAACAAUUACCAUCUUGUGUUGCUUGUAGUGACACGUAUAAAAGGACUUCCUGAGUUAUGCAACUCAAAGUGACAUCUAUACAAAAAGAUGCAACACUUUCCAAAGUAGAACUUGAGGAUAAAUGAUAAAUUCUCAGGCAUUAUGAGGGCCAUGUUCUUAGGCAUCAUCCUAAAGUAAAAUCAAUAACAGAUAAAUUCACGAAUCCGGAAUCAGAUGUGCUUGGAAAUAUCAUCAGGAUUUUGAUCAAAUGUUCUGAGGAAACAUAAUCUCCCUACUAUUUCAGUAAAUUAAUGUCAUAUUGUAGGUGUAUGUAUAGGACCAAGUCCAAAUAGAUACCAUGUAGAUGCUCAUAGAAAAUUGUGGAUGAUUUCCACCAAAGUAGGGAUAUUUAUGGUUUCAUGCCUGGAACAUUGAUAGUAAUAAGUUUGAAUCCUUGUUCGUAGUUUCACAUGGAAAAAUGUGUUCCAUAUGAUAGAUUCACACGAUCAUGGAUUGUAUUCGAUUUGACUCGCCUUAAGAGACUGAAGAGAUGUAUCAUCUACUAGACGAGAUGGUCCUUUGUUUAACUACAAGCACAGUGCUUACAUCCUUUCAAAAACGUGCCAAUGAGCUCUAGAAUCCUUAUUUUAUUUUCUAAAGAGGAAUUAUGUCUGAUCAAAUAUUGAAUUAUUGAGGAUUUAGGAUGCAGACAUAUCAAAAUUAUUUGGAAAAACAGAUUUUCAUUUUUAAAUUUUUC